UAGGGAAUCUUCGGCAAUGGACGAAAGUCUGACCGAGCAACGCCGCGUGAGUGAAGAAGGUUUUCGGAUCGUAAAACUCUGUUGUUAGAGAAGAACAAGGACGUUAGUAACUGAACGUCCCCUGACGGUAUCUAACCAGAAAGCCACGGCUAACUACGUGCCAGCAGCCGCGGUAAUACGUAGGUGGCAAGCGUUGUCCGGAUUUAUUGGGCGUAAAGCGAGCGGAGGCGGUUUCUUAAGUCUGAUGUGAAAGCCCCCGGCUCAACCGGGGAGGGUCAUUGGAAACUGGGAGACUUGAGUGCAGAAGAGGAGAGUGGAAUUCCAUGUGUAGCGGUGAAAUGCGUAGAUAUAUGGAGGAACACCAGUAGCGAAGGCGGCUCUCUAGUCUGUAACUGACGCUGAGGCUCGAAAGCGUGGGGAGCAAACAGG
rnacentral:rRNA from 1 species